GGUGGUCUGUGGUGAACCUGCGCCACUCAGAGCGGGAGAGCGUCUGACGCGCUCAGCCAAUAGGAGAAUUCAGAGGAUUUAGGCUAGAUGCGCCAUUUUACUGCGUCCACAGCUAUCCGGCAAGAUGGUCUCUUUGCUUUGUCUCCCCUGACCGGAGUUGUUUCGGUAUUCAGUUGCUAUUCUUGCCUCCAAACCAUCGAGAAUCUGAAAACUGGACUGAACCGUUCGUCUGUAACAAAAAACACAACACAUCUCUGUCAGUCAAGAAAUGACGGCGGCGAAAAGCAGAAAUGUGUGGCAUACACUGGCAACAAUAUGAGAAAACAGACCCCUGCUCCAGACAUAAAAGAAAAAGAUCCUUUUGAGGUGGAUCUGUCCCAUGUGUAUCCGGCUUACACAGAGGAGAGCAUGCGGCAGUCACUGAUGAAACUAUAGAGGCCAAGAACCUCUAAAAGUAGCAAGAGUGGUCGACCCAAGACAGGGCGAAGGAAAAGAUCUGCUAAGCCAGACGCUGUGAUCGAAUCCCUUCUGCAGUAAAGACAGCGUAGAGGAGGGCUACGUUUGACUGCAACUUUCAUGUUACCCUAUGAAAAGAAGUCAUUUGUCAAGUCUAAAAGUUAUUGCUGAACAUUAUUUAAAAGAUUAUCUUAAUGCACUGUAUAGCUGACAUGGUUCAAAUUUGAAAUAUAAAUAAAUUUGUGCUGUUGUUUGGAGAGCACUCAUGGUAGGAUUAAGACCUUUUGGCCAAGAGGACGUGUUAUUUGUAUUAUGGUGUAAGAAUUUUAAUGUUGCUUGGGCGCAUUUCAAUGGCAGCAGCCUCUAUCUUAAAUAAGUUCAAUCAUUUAAGUACAACUACUUUAAGGAGGAAAUAUUCCAUAAAUAUAUUUCACUUGCAACAUCAAUAGUUUAAAAAACGAUCAACAAUCUGAAAGAAUCUGCAGAUUUGAUGGGAUGCUGAAAGCAGAAUUUGCACACAGGAACAGCAUUCAUAUUUCCUAUGUUGAGUGUAUUUAACUCAAGGGUUUUGCGAUGAAUACCACACAGAUUAAGUCUUAACCUCUGUUUUACUGAUUUCCUACUAUGUGACAAACUGAUUCAUAUUAAAUGGGCUGUGCUAAUAUGAACACAUUAUAACUGAAUUCUAAUUCAAUUCUAAUAAUUAAUUUUCACUUAAAUUAAUCUUUUUGUGCACAAGCUGUAGCCUUAAUGUUUCUUCCCACUGAAUACAUGAAAUCAUCAACAUGGAGAGAAACAAAAGUAAACACUAAUGUAGGGGGAACAAGGAGAAGAGUGUAUGUAGUAUCAAGUAUGUAACUGAAAAGUGCGUUUUCUACUUUUUCCUUUAGGUCAGAAGCAUAGGGGCAUGCAUGCCAGCCAGCUCUUAUGUUAGUGCCAUUUGCUAAUUUAAGCAAGUCAUCUUUUUAUUUUUAUAUGUCAGAACACUCUGUGUUAUAUUGAGAUGCAUCAUGCAUAGUGUAUGCCUUAGUAUAAUACUGUGGUAUGAGGUUUUUGUGGAGAUCAUUUAAUGUCAUGAUGUCGGUAGUGGAGACAAACUGGCUUUUAUUUUGUAUCAUAAUGUAUGUCAAAUGUUUACACCCACCAAACCCCUGGAUAUUUUAUUUAUUAAAUUAUUUUACAUGUUUUACCUCCCA